AUUCGGCGCAGAUUGCGCCAGUUGCUAGGAGGAGACGGCAUGAAAGAUGAAUCAUCGUUCAUUGUCUCCCGGGAAGACUGGUCGCUGCACCGCAAAG
rnacentral:miRNA from 1 species